GCGGGGCGGCAGUGGCCGGGGAGCUGGGGCCGGGCUGUGGGCCUGCUGCGGGCCUCGGCGGCUGCGAGGCUGUCGCUGCGGGCGGCGCGUCUCCCCGGAGCUGACUCCCGCGGCACCGAGGCUUUGCGGGUCGGGACCCGGGGGGCCGCACCGCGCUGGGCUCAGGUAGGAGCCAGGCUGAUCCCGCCCGGCCAGGGUUGCCUUAACGGAGGGGUGUCCACGACCCUGAUCUCUUGAACCAAAGCGGAACACUGUGAAGAGUGAAAGUGGUCGUUUUAGAACCAGACGCUCAUUUAAAGAAACCAUGGGAGGACGCCUGUUUGUCAAGUGCUAGAGGCUGAGUACACCGUCACAUCUUAGCCACCAGCAAGUCUAUUGGUUUUACCUCCCAGAUGUCUUGACUUUGUCUGCUUCUUUGUCACCACACUGAUCUAAGUCUCUUAUCUCCUGCUUGGACCACGACCCUCAGUCUUCUGGGAGGGGAUGUGAAGAUGCUUAAAGAGUGUCCAGGGAUGGCAGAAGGUCGUCAGCAGCAAAUGGGUGUCCCUGUGGUAAAACUGGAGAAAGAGUUGCCAUGGGGCAGGGCAAGGGAAGGCCCCAGCCCGGAGACUUUUCGCCUGAGGUUUCGGCAGUUCCGCUACCAGGAGGCGGCUGGUCCCCAGGAGGCCCUCAGGGAGCUCCAGGAGCUCUGUCGCCAGUGGCUGCGGCCCGAGCUGCACACCAAGGAGCAGAUCCUGGAGCUGCUGGUGCUGGAGCAGUUCCUGACCAUCCUGCCCCGGGAGUUCUACGCCUGGAUUCGGGAGCACAGCCCGGAGAGCGGCAAGGCCCUUGUGGCCGUGGUGGAGGGCUUCACGGAGGGAGCCCUGGAGGCCAAGGCGGUUCCGUGCCAUGUGCAAGGAGAGCAGGAGGAGACAGCACUUUGCAGAGGUCCUUGGGAACCAAGUGUCCACCUGGAGCCAGUGGAGGUCAAGCCCGAGUGGGGGCUGCCCCAAGGGGAAGGAAUUCAAGGCCUCGACCAAGGCACUGAGGAGCAUCUCGCCCAGGACCCUGGAGAGGGGACGCAGGCCUUCCAGGAGCAGGCUCUGCCGGUUCUUCAGGCUGGUCCUGGCCUCCCUGCAGUGAGCACCAGAGACCAGGAGAUGGCAGUGGGGUUCCUUCCGGCUGGAUCCCAGGGGUUGGGCCCAUUUAAAGACAUGGCCCUGGCUUUCCCCGAGGAGGAGUGGAGGCACGUGACCCCAGCCCAGAUAGACUGCCUUGGGGAGUACGUGGAACCCCAGGACUGCGGGGUCUCACCUCCAGGCCUGGGGAGCAAGGAGAAGGAGGCGAAGACCCAGCUGGCAGACCCCAAGGCGCCGCCUGCUCGGGGGCCGGCAGAGAGGUUUGGGGAAGCCUCUCUCCAGGUCCCGGAGCUCGGAAGAACCUGUGAGCAGGAGGCCGGGAGCUCGGUGGGAAACGCUCCCGGGCCGCCCCCUCCCCAGCGCAGCAUUGCCCCCCUGCCUGAUGACCUCAAGACCCACAGCUCCUUCUGGAAGCCUUUCCAGUGCCCCGAGUGCGGAAAAGGCUUCAGUCGGAGCUCAAAUCUGGUCAGACACCAGCGGACCCACGAAGAAGACAAGUCCUACGGCUGCGGGGAGUGCGGGAAAGGCUUCGCGCUGCGUGAGUACCUCCUGAAGCACCAGCGGACCCACCUGGGCAGGCGGCCGUAUGCGUGCGGCGAGUGCUGGAAGACCUUCAGCCAGCGGCACCACCUGGAGGUCCACCAGAGGAGCCACACGGGCGAGAAGCCCUUCCAGUGCGGGGACUGCUGGAAGAGCUUCAGCCGCCGGCAGCACCUGCAGGUGCACCGGCGGACGCACACCGGGGAGAAGCCCUACACCUGUGAGUGCGGCAAGCGCUUCAGCAGGAACGCCAACCUGGCCGUGCACCGGCGCGCCCACACCGGGGAGAAGCCCUACGGCUGCCAGGUGUGCGGGAAGCGGUUCAGCAAGGGGGAGCGGCUGGUCAGGCACCAGAGGAUCCACACGGGGGAGAAGCCCUAUUGCUGCGCCGCCUGCGGCCGGAGCUUCAACCAGCGGUCCAUCCUCAAUCGGCACCAGAAAACGCAGCAUCGCCAGGAGACCCCAGGGCAGUGAGGGCGCCCGGCCGAAAUGCCCCUCUUUUGCUCACAGAAGGUGCCGGAGAAGGCGGGGCCUCCUGGAACCACCAGGCGGAGGGAGACCUCGUUGGAGGAUGCGCCCCCCUUUACUCACUGAAGGGUUGGGGGCGUUGAGGGACGUUGAGGGCAGUGAGGCACUUUCACCCAUUUUCUUUCCACUCGUUUCAAACAUGGGGGAAGGGAGAGGCCUGGUUUAUUUGAGAGGCCAGAGGGCACAGCAUCUCACGUCUCCUACCCAAGUGGUGCUCGUACUUUCUCUUACCCUUUUUGAGGGAGCGGUAUCCCGAGUUUCAGUUCAGGUCCCGGUUUUUCUCCUUCAGUGGAUGUUCACGUCCACCUCCUGAGCGAGUCUGGUUGUCAAGGUGACAUCUUGUCCCGUGUCGGCAGCUUGAACCUCGUUUUUCUGAGGGCUGUGUCCCUGCAAGAACAUUAGCUCUGUCUCCCUUCCUUCCCCCAAUUCUCUUUUCCAUUUAACAGAUAUUUAUUUGUUAAGUAAAUAACACCUACUGUGCGCCUGGUCCUGGGAGUGCAGUGAACGAGACAGAUGAGACCUCAUUCCCCUGGAGCUUGUGAUUGGGCCCUGGAAGCAGACUCGUUAGUAACGCAGAGCGCCCUCAGUUCCCUUCACAGCGAGCGCCGAGCGAGAGGAAGUCCUCUCAGGCUCAUUCUGCGCUCAUUCUGCGCUCCUUCUGCCCUGCCCUUCCAGGUGCCCGAUCUUCUCCUCCCAGCUGGGGUCGCUCAGGCAGCCUCCUUUAUUUUACUUUAUUUGCGGCCCCCUUUGUCUCUGUGACAGUCUACUCUCGUUGGUAGUUUCCCCAUUCCAUUACUCCUUGAACAAUAACAACUGUCCACACAUCUGUUAGGAAAUUAAUAUUUUGCUGUUGAUCACUGUAUAAACAGAGUAUUUUAAAAAACAUCCAGGUCUGUAUAAAAUUCUAAUUAAAUGAGGCCAAAAGAUGAACUAGUAUUAAUACCCUAUAUUUGAUGGCACUUUACAAUAUAUAAAAUGCGCUGCUUCCCUGUUUUCUCACUUGACUCGUUCCACAAAUAUUUAUUGAGGCCCGACAGUGUGCCAGGAACUCUUCUAGGUGCUUGAGGUACGUCAGUGAAUAAAAUAGGCGGGGUGUGGAGGUGGGGUGGGAAAUCCCUGUCCUCGUGGAGCUUACGUGUUGGUCAAUGUAUUUGAUCUUCAGAACCACCCAAAGUGGAACCCGUGGCUGCUCCCCGGGACCCUCUGGACCUGGCAUCUGAGCCUGUGCCUCGGUCCUGUCAGCUGGCCCUGAAAUGCAUUCGCCACCACCUACCUCUUGUUCCUGAAUCAUCUCCAUCCUCAGUGCAUCUCGGUCCUUGUCAUCUGAGAGGUCAAAGUAAGAGGACUUCCCUGGUGGCGCAGUAGUUUAAGAAUCCGCCUGCCAAUGCAGGGGACACGGGUUCGAGCCCUGGUCUGGGAAGAUCCCACGUGCCACGGAGUAACUAAGUCCGUGCACCACAACUACUGAGCCUGCGCUCUAGAGCCCGCGAGCCACAACUACUGAAGCCCACGCACCUAGAGGCCGUGCUCCACAACAAGAGAAGCCACUGCAAUGAGAAGCCCGCACACUGCAACAGAGUAGCUCCCACUCGCCACAACCAGAGAAAACCUGUGCGCAGCAACGAAGACCCAAUGCAGCCAAAAAAAAAAGUAAGAUCUGUAAAUUUUAAUUUGUUGCUUUGUCUUGUAAGUCUAAUAAUCUAUAGUUCCUAUCCCUUUUUCCCCUUGAAAAAAAAUUUUUUUUUUAAUUUUAGUUUUUUAUUUGGCCGUGCUGUAUGGCUUGUGGAAUCUUAGUUCCCCGACCAGGGAUCGAACCCACGCCCCCUGCAAUAGACGUGCGGAGCCCUAACCAAUGAACUGCCAGGGAAAUUCCCCUCCCCUUGAAAUUCAUUUAUUGAAACAACUGGAUUAUUUAUCCUGUGGAGUUUCUCACACUCUGAAUUUUAUUGUUUGCAUACUCAUGGCAUAAUUUAAUAUAGUUCUCUGCCGUCUGAUUAACUAAAAACUUAUAGGUGUAGCGGUAUAUAGCCAGAUUUGUAUUUCACACUUUGGCAAGAACACAUUGCAGAUGGUGGCAUGUCUGGUUGUUUCUCAUUAUAUGAUGUUGGGAGCCUAAAUGCAUUUAUUUCAUUAAUUCUAUAAAAGAUUCUUUGUUUAUUAGCUGGAAAGCUUCUGUAAGAAAUUUCCCCUCACUAUUAGAUACAGUUCAUAGAGGAAAGGAAAUGCUUGAUUCUUCCCUUUAUUUACCUGUCUUCACAAUAAUAAUGAUCUGGUGGCUUUGCUUCUUAUAAAAGUGAUCAAUUAUUAUUAUUUUUUAAUCAAAAUGCAUUAAUGAAUUUAAACCAAUCCACCACAGUUGUUAUUCUUAUUGAUGCUCAAAUCAUUUCGCUUUUGGCCAGUGGGAGCCUCUUCACAUUGGCUCCUAAAUCAACAUAACCCUAAUCAUCUUUGAUAGCUUCUUUGCUCUCUGGUGUGACAGGGUGUUACAAGAUCAUCUUGUACAUUUCCUGCCCCUUUUGAGAGUGAAGGAAAGUGCUGUUAAUUAUGUCAGGACAGUGGUGUAAAUGGGACUCCAGGACAAACAGGGAUAUUUGGUCACUUUAUAUUUAGCCUUCACUGUGUAUGAUUGGGUGUCUGCAGUUCCCUCACGCAGGGCUAAUGUCGUGCACUUCAGGGCCUGGCUGCGCAUCGUGGGCCAUGCUGCUGUGACAGGAAAGUUGCCGCUCCCAAGGGGUGUGACCUUUGUAAGAGAAACCCCUUUUUAUCCCCUGGGUGUUAACAGAACCAGGUAACUUUCUGCCCAAGGUGUGUCCUGGGGAGCUAACGCAUUAAAAAAUUGCUUCUCAAAAUGUAUGCCAGGGUGAAUGUUGUCUGCAGGCUCAUUAAGUGUGCUAAAAAUACUUUCCGUACCUGUUUUAUCCCGGCCUAGGGAAAAGUAGGAGAACCUUUGUUUCUUAAAAAAUAAGCUGGUUUCAAGUCUACUUCUGAGACAGGGAAAGGAACUGGCAGAACACGUUUCUCUAGAGUCUACUUGUUCUUUUAAAGUCUGCCCAAGUUUCUCAACCUCCGCACUAUUCUCGCUUUGUGUCAGGAAAUUCUUUGUCUUGGAGGCUGCCCUGGCUUUUUUAUGCGUGGUAUGCUGUUUAGCAGGAUCCUUGGCCUAAAUCUACUAGAUGUUUCCAGGCCUAGCUAAAUGUCUCCUGGGGGCAAAACUGACUCUGGCUGAGAACCCUUGCCCUUAGGGUUCAGGGUAGGAGCUGAAACGAAUUAGAUGGUUUAGCUAUUGAAAGGACUGGGCUUCCAAGGCCUGGAGCUAUUUCCUGCUAACCUUAAAGAGCCCUGGCCUAAUUUCUAGAAAACAAAGGAGUUACUAGAGAUCAUGUGGGUUAAAUGUAGUGUUGCCAAGCAGAGCCCAAGAGCUUUUGAAGUGGAAUCUCAGGAUGGGAUGCUGGGGUCUAUCACAGGCAGCCUGCGUGGUUGCUUUGGGUUCCUUUCAGGCAAGCACCUGCUGCACUCCUCCACACAGCCGUGAGCUUUUGCCUGGGGCUAGGUUCACCGUCCUCAGUGAACGCAUGUGCGCAGUGAGAGCCAGUUAAGCACGGUGCAGCCAGUUCCAACUUUUUUGCCUCUAUGAUAAGGUCUCCGAAGGCCCACAGUAGUCAUAAAUACUUGAAUGGAUGAAAGACUUGGAUUUCUACCUUUUUCGUAGCUAGAAGGCUCUCUUGAGGGUGCCUUAGGAGGGAAGAACCGUGCAGCAAGUUGCCCCCCAGCGGCCCCCGAUCGGGCAGUCAUCUGUAGCUGCUGUCCUGCCAAUUGCAGUUAUGUUGAAUUCACUUAGAAAUUCUACAAGUCAAAGAAAUUCACUUGGGCUUCUUACAAUUUCAUAUUCCUAUCUUGCCUUAUUUUCCUUUAUUAUCUUCAGUGAAGGGCAUAUUUCUAGAGAUUGGUCUUGUCCAGCCCAUUCCCAGGACUGACCUGUUUCAAUAAAAUAUUUCAGGAAACGUUUGUUAUAAAGUGGGGAGGGUAGGCAAUUGUGUUCCUUGUGUUUGUCGCUGGGAAUUUAAACUGCUGGGAGAGUGAGGAUGGGAGGGGUGGGUGAUGCAGGUGUUGGGCCCUGAGAAGCAGAGGGACUUAGGAGCAGCAGUUUGGAAGAGCAGAGAGGUUCCAGGAGAAGGGCUGCAAUCGCUGCCACGUGCACCAUCGUCUAAGUGGCCAGAGACCAGGAAAUAGGGCAGACGUAAGAGCUUGCUUCAUGUUUUCCCUUCCUAGUUAAAAAAUGUGUUUUAUUGAGAAGGUGGUGUAUUAGCUUUUAGAGAGACUGGGAAAAAGUGGUGGUAGAAGUCUGUAUUUGCUUUCUUGAGUCCCACCUGUAGAAGCUGUUUGAGUCUUACACCAUCUCCAGGUCUGUGAAGAAUUUGAGAAAAUCUGGUCUCUAUCAUCUAGACAUUUCGCUGACUCCUGUGGAAGGACUCAGCAAGUGCUGUGAACCAGAAGAGCAGAGUGAACGAUAAGCAGUUUAUCGUUGAGAACCAGUGUUCCCACUAGGUUUUCCCAGUCUGCGGUUCUAAGCGUUCUAAGGUGCUAAUGGAAAGAAUGGAAAAUAAGAGGUGGAAAAACCAAGAGUUUAAACAGUGUGGUGGUAGCACAGAUGGAGGGAUGGAGUGGAAUACAGAGUUCAGAAAUAGACCCAGUUCUAUAUGGAAAUUUAGCAUAUAAUAAAGAUGGUAUCUCAAAUCA